rnacentral:rRNA from 1 species
GCAUGAAGCCCCCCUCAAGAUGAGAUUUCCCAACUUCGGUUAUAAGAUCCCUCGAAGAUGACGAGGUUAAUAGGUUCGAGGUGGAAGCGUGGUGACACGUGGAGCUGACGAAUACUAAUCGAUCGAAGACUUAAUCAAU